GGGCUGGUAUGGAGGGAAGGCCAAAGAGAGCACCGAGAUAAUCCUGUCAGACUGAGCAGUUCCUGCUUAGCCACUGGUGUCAGGGAGUGUCUUGGAUUUCAGAGCAAAGCCAUCUUUGCCUUGUCUCAUGCAGAGACCCUCAGCUGGAUCAGGGGUGUAAAUUUUGGGUGUCAAUAGAGAUUCCUCAAACACCUGCUUAGAAAAACCAGACCCAGGAAAGCUCCCAGAAGGGCUGUCAGAGCCAAGCUGUGUCUCCUAUCCUGAAGAAAGAAAUAAAACAUAAUAUCAAGUGUUUUGAAAGCUGUGACCUGGAGGCUUUCAUUGUGCUGUGCAGUCAAGGGCAAGGCUCAUAUUCAGAAUAGCAGAGAGACAGACAACAACAUGGAUCAACAUUAUUAAAGUUAUUCAGCUGAAAGAGAAAAAAAAAAAAAAACAACAACCACACCAAUACCCCAGACAUCAAAUAUUUACUGAUAAUGCCCUGUGCUGCUCUGGCUGCUGGAACAGUUCAGUCCCACACAUCAGCUUUGCCUGGUGCCAAAAGGGGUGGUGAAAGCAGGGGCACUGCAGCACUUGGGUUUGGUCCAGCUGGGGGCUGAGAAAAUACAAAAACUGCAAUUAAUUUCGAGUGUAGCAGCACUGCUGGAAGAAGUGCUCAUAAGCCAAACCUCAGACUAACAAUCUGGGUUCAUCCAAAGCCAGGCUCCCAGGGGUCUGCUGAAUUACUGCAUGAGCUGAGACUACCAAGGAAAUAAAAUCCUGGUGACAUCUAGUGGCAGCUGGGGCUUCUCUGAGGCAUUAGAGGUGAGAGUGCCUCUGCUCUGGGCAUUUCAGCAGGCUGUGCACACAACAGAGAUGGAAAUGAACCUUUCAAGACCAACAGACUCCCACAACCUGAAUUUAGAGACUUCCCCAUCUUGCUCAAGGACAAUAUUGCUGGAAUGGCUUUGAUUUGUGCAGCAGCCUAAGCAGUCCUGUCCUACCUUCC